rnacentral:rRNA from 1 species
GGUUCGAUUAUGGCUCAGAUUGAACGCUGGCGGGAUGCUUUACAUGCAAGUCGAACGGCAGCACGGACUUCGGUCUGGUGGCGAGUGGCGAACGGGUGAGUAAUGUAUCGGAACGUGCCUAGUAGCGGGGGAUAACUACGCAGCGUAGCUAAUACCGCAUACGCCCUUCGGGGGAAAGCGGGGGACCUUCGGGCCUCGCACUAUUAGAAGCGGCCGAUAUCGGAUUAGCUAGUUGGUGGGAUAACGGCUCACCAAGGCGACGAUCCGUAGCUGGUUUGAAGGACGACCAGCCACACUGGGACUGAGACGGCCCAGACUCCUACGGGAGGCAGCAGUGAAAUUUUGGACAAUGGGGGAAACCUGAUCCAGCCAUCCCGCGUGUGCGAUGAAGGCCUUCGGGUUAUAAAGCACUUUGGCAGGAAAGAAACGGCACGGGAUAAUACGUGCAGCCAGCCAAUACCUGCAGAGUCAGCACCCAUUCUUCCCAUUUUCGGCAGCCGCGGUAAUACGUAGGGUGCAAGCGUUAAUCGGAAUUACUGGGCGUAAAGCGUGCGCAGGCGGUUCAGGAAAGAAGAAGAAUCAAAAUCCCAAACUUAGCUUUGGAACUGCCGCAUUUUUAACUACCGAGCUAGAAUUGUGUGUCAGGGAGGUGGAAUUCCGCGUGUAGCAGUGAAAUGCGUAGAUAUGCGGAGGAACACCGAUAGCGAAGGCAACCUCCUGGGAUAACACUGACGCUCAUGCACAGCAGUAGAGGAGCAAACAGGAUUAAGAUACCCUGGUAGUCCACGCCCUAAACGAUGUCAACUAGCUGUUGGGGCCUUCAGACCUUGGUAGCGCAACUAACGUGAAGUUGACCAUACCAAGUACGGUCGCAAGAUUAAAACCUCAAGGAGAUUGACGGGGACCCGCACAAGCGGUGGAUGAUGUGGAUUAAUUCGAUGCAACGCAGAAAAACCUUACCUGCAACAAAGCGCUAUGCGGAAUCCCGAAGAGAUUUGGGAGUGCUCGCAAGAGAACCGGAACACAGGUGCUGCAUGGCUGUCGUCAGCUCGUGUCGUGAGAUGUUGGGUUAAGUCCGCAACGAGCGCAACCCUUGUCAUUAGUUGCUACGAAAGGGCCACUCUAAUGAGACUGCCGGUGACAAACCGGAGAGGUGGGGAUGACGUCAAGUCCUCGCAGCCACUUAUGGGCGGGGCUUCACACGUCAUACAAUGGUCGGGACAGAGGGUCGCCAACCCGCGAGGGGAGCCAAUCCCAGAAACCCGAUCGUGGUCCGGAUCUGAUCUGCAACUCGACUGCGUGAAGUCGGAAUCUUUAAGUAAUCGCGGAUCAGCAUGUCGCGGUGAAUACGUUCGGGUCUUGUACACACCGCCGUCACACCAUGGGAACAUAGGUUUUACCAGAAGUAGUUAGCCUAACCGUAAGGAGGGCGAUUACCACGGUAGGAUUCAUGACUGGGGUGAAGUCGUAACAAGGUAG